ensembl:lncRNA
CAGCUAUAAAGGCACGACCAAACAGUUGCCCAUAUAGCACAGAAAAUAUUUUCUAAGACCCACUGGCAUGCUGCCUUUUAAAAAAAAACAUAUAUUUUUAUUUUGUUUAAAAAAAAAAACACUCCUUGAGUACAGAGAGUGCGCCAUUUUCUCUAUCCUCACAUCGGUCUUGUUUGAGCUUCACCUUUACCUUAAAUCCACCUGAACAUGAGGGUUGCGUGUGAGUCUGCAUGGAGCCUAAAUAUCUCCUGGUCUCCUGGGCAAAGCCAAGUCACACCUGACACACACCUGCAUGAGACUGGAUUGAAAUGCAAACUACAUCUUCUACAAGGCAAUAGGUGUUCAUGGUUGACUGGAUGGCUUGGAUAUGAUGGAUAUGUUACUGAGCUGAAUCAUCACCAGGGUGACUUCUGUGCAGGGACUACAGAUGAAAAAUAGCCUUGGGCUAAUCCUGGUACAUUUACAGAAAUGUUUUAUUAAUGUGCAAUGUCCUUGUUAACUAAACAAACAAAAAUAAAC